AGUGAACGCUGGCGGUAGGCCUAACACAUGCAAGUCGAACGGCAGCACAGUAAGGGCUUGCUCUUACGGGUGGCGAGUGGCGGACGGGUGAGGAAUACAUCGGAAUCUACUUUUUCGUGGGGGAUAACGUAGGGAAACUUACGCUAAUACCGCAUACGACCUACGGGUGAAAGCAGGGGAUCUUCGGACCUUGCGCGAUUGAAUGAGCCGAUGUCGGAUUAGCUAGUUGGGGGGGUAAAGGCCCACCAAGGCGACGAUCCGUAGUUGGUCUGAGAGGAUGAUGGGCCACCAUGGAGGUGAGAAACGGUCCAGACGCCUACGGGAGGAAGCAGUGGGGAAUAUUGGAGAACGGGCGCAAGCCUGAUCCAGCCAUACCGCGGGGGUGAAGAAGGACUUCGGGUUGUAAAGCCCUUUUGUUGGGAAAGAAGAGCAGCAGGUUAAUACCCCGCUGUUCUGACGGUACCCAAAGAAUAAGCACCGGCUAACUUCGUG
rnacentral:rRNA from 1 species